rnacentral:rRNA from 1 species
CCUACGGGAGGCAGCAGUGAGGAAUAUUGGUCAAUGGGCGCGAGCCUGAACCAGCCAAGUCGCGUGAGGGAGGACGGCCCUACGGGUUGUAAACCUCUUUUGCCGGGGAGCAACGGGCGUCACGCGUGGCGCCACUGAGAGUACCCGGAGAAAAAGCAUCGGCUAACUCCGUGCCAGCAGCCGCGGUAAUACGGAGGAUGCGAGCGUUAUCCGGAUUUAUUGGGUUUAAAGGGUGCGUAGGCGGAUCGUUAAGUCAGUGGUCAAAUUGAGGGGUUCAACCCCUUCCCGCCAUUGAAACUGGCGUUCUUGAGUGGGAGAGAAGUAUGCGGAAUGCGUGGUGUAGCGGUGAAAUGCAUAGAUAUCGCGCAGAACCCCGAUUGCGAAGGCAGCAUGCCGGCUUCCGACUGACGCUGAAGCACGAAAGCGUGGGGAUCGAACAGGAUUAGAUACCCUUGUAGUC